rnacentral:rRNA from 1 species
UACGAAGGGGGCUAGCGUUGCUCGGAAUCACUGGCGUAAAGGGUGCGUAGGCGGGUUUUUAAGUCAGAGGUGAAAUCCUGGAGCUCAACUCCAGAACUGCCUUUGAUACUGAAAGUCUUGAGUAUGGGAGAGGUGAGUGGAACUGCGAGUGUAGAGGUGAAAUUCGUAGAUAUUCGCAAAGAACACCAGUGGCGAAGGCGGCUCACUGGCCCAUAACUGACGCUGAGGCACGAAAGCGUGGGGAGCA